ACGCACUCCUACGGGAGCAGCAGUGGGGAAUAUUGCACAAUGGGCGGAAGCCUGAUGCAGCAACGCCGCGUGCGGGAUGACGGCCUUCGGGUUGUAAACCGCUUUCGCCUGUGACGAAGCGUGAGUGACGGUAAUGGGUAAAGAAGCACCGGCUAACUACGUGCCAGCAGCCGCGGUGAUACGUAGGGUGCGAGCGUUGUCCGGAUUUAUUGGGCGUAAAGGGCUCGUAGGUGGUUGAUCGCGUCGGAAGUGUAAUCUUGGGGCUUAACCCUGAGCGUGCUUUCGAUACGGGUUGACUUGAGGAAGGUAGGGGAGAAUGGAAUUCCUGGUGGAGCGGUGGAAUGCGCAGAUAUCAGGAGGAACACCAGUGGCGAAGGCGGUUCUCUGGGCCUUUCCUGACGCUGAGGAGCGAAAGCGUGGGGAGCGAACAGGCUUAGAUACCCUGGUAG
rnacentral:rRNA from 1 species